AAAAAAAAGCUAAGUAAGGGCGUAUGGUGGAUGCCUUGGCUCUGAGAGGCGAAGAAGGACGUGAUAAGCUGCGAUAAGCUGCGGGUAUUGGCACAUACAAAUUAAUCCGCAGAUUUCCGAAUGGGGAAACCUAUCAUAUUAACUAUAUGAUAUUACUUUUUUAAAGUAAUGCUAACCUAGAGAACUGAAACAUCUAAGUAUCUAGAGGAAAAGAAAACAAAAGUGAUUCCGUUAGUAGUGGCGAGCGAAAUCGGAAAAGCCCAAACUAUUAUGGUUUAGGCCAUAGUGGGGUUGUAGGUCUACAAUAAAGGAUUAUUUUUAUAUAGUAGAAUGAUUUGGAAAAAUCAAUCAUAGAAGGUGAUAUUCCUGUAUACGAAAUAGAGAAAUAACCUAGUAGUAACCUGAUUAGGACGGGACACGGGAAAUCUUGUCUGAAUCUACCGGGACCAUCCGGUAAGGCUAAAUACUACUCAGAGACCGAUAGUGAACUAGUACCGUGAGGGAAAGGUGAAAAGUACUUCGAAUAGAAGGGUGAAAUAGAUCCUGAAACCAUACGCUUACAAGCUGUCGGAGCCCUUUUAAUUUUAUUAUUAAAAGUAGGGUGACGACGUGCCUUUUGCAUAAUGAACCUACGAGUUAAUUUUUCCGGCAAGGUUAAGUAGUUCAGCUAUGGAGCCGUAGCGAAAGCGAGUCUGAAUAGGGCAUUUAGUCGGAAGAAUUAGACGCGAAACCGAGUGAUCUACCCAUGAGCAGGUUGAAGCUGUGGUAACACAUAGUGGAGGACCGAACCGGUUGACGUUGAAAAGUCUUCGGAUGACUUGUGGGUAGGGGUGAAAGGCUAAUCAAACUCGGAGAUAGCUCGUACUCCCCGAAAUGCAUUUAGGUGCAGCAUCGUGUUAAAUAUGACAGAGGUAGAGCUACUGAUUGGAUGAAGGGGUUUCAUCACCUACUAAUUCCUGAUAAACUCCGAAUGCUGUUAUUAUGUUUCACGGUAGUGAGGGCAUGGGUGCUAAGAUCCAUGUCCAAGAGGGAAACAACCCAGAUCAUCAGUUAAGGCCCCUAAGUAUAUAUUAAGUUGUAUAAACAAAGUUUAAUUACACAGACAGCUAGGAUGUUAGCUUGGAAGCAGCUAUUCAUUUAAAGAGUGCGUAACAGCUCACUAGUCGAGUGAUUGAGCGUGGAUAAUAAUCGGGCAUAAAUAUAUCGCCGAAACUAUGAGAUUGAAAAAUCGGUAGGGGAGCAUUGUAAUAGCGUUGAAGUUAUAUUGUGAAAUAUAGUGGAGUAAUUACAAAAGAAAAUGUAGGUAUAAGUAACGAUAAUGCGGGAUAGAAAACCGCACACCGAAAAACUAAGGGUUCCUCAGCUAUGUUAAUCAACUGAGGGUUAGUCGGGUCCUAAGAUGUAAUCGAAAGGUGUAAUCGAUGGGUAACCGGUUAAUAUUCCGGUACUUGCUUUUAUUGCGAUGAGAAGACGGAGUUAUGAAACUGUCGCGUACGGACGGAAGUGUACGUUGAAAUAGUUAGGUAUAAAAUAUAUAGGAAAAUCCGUAUAUUUUGCUAAGCUAUGAUAGUACCAUAAACCUUCGGGCGAGUGGAUAGUACAGGUAAGAGCUUCCAAGAAAAUCCUCUAAGCUUCAGAUAAAAGUGAUCCGUACCAAAACCGACACAGGUAGUUAAGGAGAGAAUCCUAAGGUGCUCGAGUGAUUCACGGCUAAGGAACUAGGCAAAAUUAACCUGUAACUUCGGGAUAAAGGUUGCCUUCCUUAAAAAAGAAGGUCGCAGUGAAGAUAUCCAGACGACUGUUUAUCAAAAACAUAGGACUCUGCUAAAUUGAAAAAUGAUGUAUAGGGUCUGACACCUGCCCAGUACUGGAAGGUUAAAGAAAAAGGUUAGCUUCGGCAAAGCUUUUAACUGAAGCCCCAGUAAACGGCGGCCGUAACUAUAACGGUCCUAAGGUAGCGAAAUUCCUUGUCGGGUAAGUUCCGACCUGCACGAAUGGUGUAACGAUCUGGAAACUGUCUCAGCCGUGAGCUCGGUGAAAUUGUAAUAUCGGUGAAGAUGCCGAUUACUCGCAAUGGGACGAAAAGACCCUGUGAACCUUUACUAUAGCUUCGUAUUGGUUUUGAUUAAAAAAUGUGUAGGAUAGGUGGGAGACUUUGAAGUAUUGUCGUAAGAUAAUAUGGAGUCAACCUUGAAAUACCACCCUUUUUUUAAUUGAAAUCUAACUUAAUUAUUUAUUGAGGACAUUGCGUGGUGGGUAGUUUGACUGGGGUGGUCGCCUCCAAAAAGGUAACGGAGGCUCCCAAAGGUACCCUCAACACGUUUGGUAAUCGUGUGUAGAGUGUAAUGGCAUAAGGGUGCUUGACUGUGAGACCUACAAGUCGAUCAGGUACGAAAGUAGGGCAUAGUGAUCCGGUGGUUCCGCAUGGAAGGGCCAUCGCUCAAAGAAUAAAAGGUACUCCGGGGAUAACAGGCUAGUCUCCCCCAAGAGCUCAUAUCGACGGGGAGGUUCGGCACCUCGAUGUCGGCUCGUCACAUCCUGGGGCUGAAGAAGGUCCCAAGGGUUGGGCUGUUCGCCCAUUAAAGUGGCACGCGAGCUGGGUUCAGAACGUCGUGAGACAGUUCGGUCUCUAUCUAUUGUGAGCGUUAGAAGCUUGAGUGGAGCUGAUUCUAGUACGAGAGGACCGAAUUGGACGAACCUCUGGUGUAUCAGUUGUAUCGCCAGGUGCAUCGCUGAGUAGCUACGUUCGGAAGAGAUAAGCACUGAAAGCAUAUAAGUGCGAAACUCACCACAAGAUUAGGCUUCUUUUAAGGGUCGUUGAAGACUACAACGUUGAUAGGCUAUAAGUGUAAAGACAGUAAUGUCAUAGCUAAGUAGUACUAAUUACCCAUAGGCUUAUAUUUCUU
rnacentral:rRNA from 1 species